AUUUGUGUGUGAUGUUACAGGGUGAGCACUGAGAUUCCUUACCAAUUCACUUAUGUUUCAACUAAACAUGAAGGGAUCACGAGGGGAUAAAACAUCAUUUGACAGCGCUGUGCAAAUUAAUAACUGACAGUGUAGUAAAGGCGCAUGAUGUUACAGAAGCCUUUGCCCUCAGCACCAUUGCCAGUAAUCCUUGCACCUAAGAGG